CUGAAAAUUACCUGCUGGCUGGGAUGUAUAACAAUUAAGGCAGGAACAGCGAAUGUGCAGGAACAACGAGGCACGCCAGUUUGUGCUGGAACCAAAAAGUUGUGAGUUGCCCCAAGUGCAGACUGUAUUACAACAGGACGACAACCGGAGAACUGCUUUCAGUCAGAGUCACGCAUAAAGCACUCACCUCCCUGACCUUGGACAACAGCAAAAAGAUAGCCUUUUGUGAAAAAGUCUUCACCUAAACAUCAACUUCAUUUAAGCAUCCUCUUGGGUUUGAACCAUAUUUCCAUCCUGGU